GAUACUCCGAGGACACGAAGUUCGUCGGAAGGUUCCUCGGAAAAUACCGAGGGAAUUCCGAUGGUCCAAUCCUCGGAAGUUUCGACGAAAUAUUCCUCGGAAUGGAGUGGAGUUUCUCGGAAAAUUCCGAGGAACUUUUUCCCUCAGAAAAUUCCGAGGAACUUAAAGUUCGUCGGAAUUUGCCGAGGGGAGAAAGUUCCUCGAAAUUUUCCGAGGAACCCCAUUCCCUCGGAAUUUUGAAAAAAUUUAUUUUUUUAAAAAAUUUAUUUUUUUUUAAAUUAAUUUUAUUUUUAAAAAUUAAAAUUUUUAAAAUUUAAAAUUAAAUUGAAUAAAACAUAAAAUAAAACAUAGUAGAUAAUAUUCAAAUUUAAAUAAAACAUUCAGAGUUUUUGGAAAAAAAAAAAAA